rnacentral:rRNA from 1 species
UACGUAGGGUGCAAGCGUUGUCCGGAAUUAUUGGGCGUAAAGCGCGCGUAGGCGGCUUUGCAAGUCGGGUGUGAAAUCCCCAGGCUUAACCUGGGAACUGCAUUCGAGACUGCAUUGCUAGAGUAUGGGAGGGGGAAGUGGAAUUUCCGGUGUAGCGGUGAAAUGCGUAGAUAUCGGAAGGAACACCAGUGGCGAAGGCGGCAUCCUGGACCGGCAUUGACGCUGAGGCGCGAAAGCCAGGGGAGCAAACGGG